UCAGACAUAAUUUUGAGAUGCAGUUGAAUUUUGGUGUGCUUCUGUCAAACAAUUUAGCCAGAAGUUAGGAAUCCGGUCCAGUCCAUUUGUGAGAU